UUCACUUUGUUUUUAACAAAGUGUUAGUUGUUUUUUUUUACUGCUUUGCUCCUUAUCAACGCCAUUCGGUCCAUUGUGUAAUUGUUAAUUGAACAAAGCUCACAAAUCUUCAAUAUGGAAGUGAAAUCAGAAUCAAACCACGCACGCAAUUACCAGGAAUCAAGUGUAAUCUUAUAGAACCCCGUCAAUGAAGCAAUACGAUUUGAAUCACCAUUAAAAAGAUGCCUGCAUGUGUAGAAAGAAACACAUUGAUAUGGCUUUACAAUCCGAUAUUUAGGCGCAAAAAAGCAGGAUCCUUGUACGCAAAUCAAAAGUCUGGCGGCCAUGAUAGAUAAAAGGAAGCAUCAGCGCAAAAUGCAGCUAAAAUGUGGAUCAACUUUAUUCGAUAUUUGCACAAAUUUGCAUUCUAAAUAAAAAUACAAAAUUUCAGGUUAAAAAAAUUUAAUUACCAUUAAAA